ensembl:lncRNA
CCUUUUCUGUCUUCCUCUCCACUACCUUUCCUGUUGGCCAAGACCCCUGAUGUGAACAACUUCAUCCUCCACAAGCUCCCAGUACCAUGAUGUAAUGGAGCCAGCAGAGUAUGGACUAAAACUUCUGAAACCAAGCCAAGGACAAACCCUUCCUGACUUCCCCACAGCAUAACUGACGCUGGACUAUAACUCUGAGAAAACUUCACAGGAGGUUUAAGAAUUAAAGAAGAACUAGAGCAAGGUAGUUACUUACAACCUGCCCAGGCACACACAGACCCACAGGGAUCUCAUUGCCAGCCAAUUCCUGCCUAGCCAAAGGGUGGCUUCUCUUCUGGAAAUGAUUCAGGAAUUUUCAGACCUUGGUGUUUAGUCCACACUGAGUCUGGCACAAGAAACAAGAGCCAGUUUUCUUCUCACGCCAUCUGUGACUUUCCAGUUUUCAUUCUUGGUGUAAUAAACAGGGGAAUUUAAAUUCUUUGCAGACAGAAAUCUUGUCACCCCAAGUAGCCUUCAUGAACCCUCUCUUACCUAUUUCUCCAGCCCAAUCAAUUCUUGUUUUCCUCACUCACCUUCUAUGCUUAAAUCUAGAUGUUCAGGAUCACUACAAAUCCCUGAACAGAGAUUCUCUCAUGCCACUGUCUUUGCUGUUGUCUAGACCAGAAAUUCCUUUUACUCCUUCACCAGUAAGCCGUAUCUUAUUCAUUUUCCAAACAUAAUCCUGUUGUCACUACUUUCAGGAAGCUUAUAUUUGCCUGAUCCCUAUGCCUGGGCCAGGAAUACUUUCUCUUUGAUCUGGAGCACUUAUUCCUUAUUCCUAGUACACCUUAUUCCUAGUACACCUCUUCUUCACACUUCAUUGAAAGUGUCUCUUCCAUGAGCUUAGUAUCUCCUUAAAUUCAAAAGAAAUGUUGAUCUCUGAAUUCCACAAGCCAGUACAAGAUUUGCAAUAUGUGAAGAUUUCAAAAGUUUAAUGAAUGUUGAUUUAAUUUUUCAACGAAUCCUAUUAACAACCCUAGGAAACGAGUAUUAUUCCUAACAAAAGCAGGGGAUCUAUUUAACUUAAGAUUAAGGUUAAAAACCACCAUG